ensembl:ncRNA ZK218.23 ncRNA
GUACAUACAUAUAUGGAAAUAGUCUAUGUGAUGCAAAAAAUUAUAGAUUCUCAUGUAUGGGUGCCGUGCGCUCCUCAACUGAAAAAUGCAAUUGUUCUCAAAAA